rnacentral:rRNA from 1 species
AUCGAAUCUCAGCUCGGUAAGGAUACCCCCUGAAUUUAAGCAUAUAAUUAAAGGGAGGAAAAGAAACUAACAAGGAUUCCCUCAGUAAGGGCGACUGAAGCGGGAAAAGCUCACCGUGUGAAUCGACAUUCUAUGUCGAGUUGUGGUCUGUAGAAGUAACAUCUGUCGAGAUUCCGAGCUAAGUCUCUUGGAAAAGAGCAGCUGAGAGGGUGACACUCCCGUUCUUGCUUGGAAUCUACGACAAUAGCAUGUGUCUUCAACGAGUCGAGUUGCUUGGGAUUGCAGCUCAAACGCGUGGUAUACUCCAUGUAAAGCUAAAUAUAGGUAGGAAACCGAUAGCGCACAAGUACUGUGAAGGAAAGAUGCAAAGAACUUUGAAAAGAGAGUUAAAGAGUACCUGAAACUGUUGAAAGGGAAGCGAAUGAAAACAGUGUGUUUUCGUAUCAUUCUUCCUUCAUGACUUGUCAUGGGGGCGCUGUGAUGCGAGAGUGGUCAACAUGGGUUUGAAUCGGGGCAUAUAGCUAUUCAGGAGGCAUCUGUCUUUUCAGAGAUUACUGUUUAGUGUUGUCCUGGUUUGGAUCGAGGUUAGAAUCUGAUGUUGACGAAAUGUUUUUAUUCACCCCGUCUUGAAACACGGACCAAGGAGUCUAA